GACGAACCGUGCGAACGUUGUUCGGAAUCACUGGGCUUAAAGGGCGCGUAGGCGGGUUUUCAAGUCUGUGGUGAAAGCCUCCAGCUUAACUGGAGAAGUGCCGUGGAUACUGGAGACCUCGAGGAGGGUAGGGGCAUCUGGAACAGCCGGUGGAGCGGUGAAAUGCGUUGAUAUCGACCGGAACUCCGGUGGCGAAGGCGAGGCGCUGGACCCUUUCUGACGCUGAGGCGCGAAAGCCAGGGGAGCAAACGGG
rnacentral:rRNA from 1 species